rnacentral:lncRNA from 1 species
ACCACCAUCAUGUAAAAAGAAAAAAAAAAGACUGAUAAAGGUUUUAAUAGAAUUUUUUAAGAAAAAAACCUGAAAUCAGUUCAGGGCCAUAUGUUGGAUUCUGUGGCCUGAGAAGGAAAAUAUGUUCAUUAGAUUUGCAGAAAUUUAAAACAUGUAUUUUUAAAUAGUAGAAGGUCUAGAGUUCAGAAAGAUCAGCCCAGACAAGAAGGAAAAGUGAGAGCGCUCUGACAUUUGCACUAAAGAGAAUAUGAUCCCCAAAGUUAGCAUCUCAGACAGUGAGUCUUGAAAAGGUAAAGCUGGGAGUCUCAGUAACAGAAAUGUCUGAGGAACAUAUCUGGACACCCGAGAGCAACACAUGGUACCCUGAGCGGUAGAAACUGCUUCUGACCCAGUGGUUCGUCGUGUAUUUCUUAUACAAGUCCAGAGUUCCUCUUGGCGUAGAGACGGCCCUGAACCUGUGUGAGAAUGUGCUCAGUGGUUCCAGCAGCAUGGCAUCCAGCAGCAUGGCACAUUGUAUGUCAGUGUGGAGACAGUGAAAUGAGUUUAGACAGAAACUUCUAGUCUUGCCCUUUGCCAUUUUGGCAGUUCUUAUUCAGGCAGAAGAAAGAUUUGUCUUAAUUAAGGCUUAUGUUCAUAUGUUCAUAAUUAAAUAGUUUUUAAAAACUGAAAAAAUUCACUAAGAGCCAACUGUCAGAAUUGUGCUGUAUCCAACUACAAAUUUAUCUGGAAGGCGUUUCACUGCCAACCUUUUGGAAUGUGUAGUCUGAACAGUGUGACUUUGUGUCUUAACCUCUCAGUCAUACCUCUCCCCACUACUAUCUGGCUCCUCUGUAUCUUCUUUCCUGUUAGGCAUAGGGCCCUCUGCAAAGUAAAAACUCAACUGACAUUCUGAUGUAUUUUAAUUUCAUUUAUUUUGUUUAUCCCUUGUAUCCUGCUUACUUCGAAAAUAAAAGAGAAUCUUUUAGCAUGGGGAUAAGCUACUACUCGCCAAAUAAUAAAAUUAUAUGUUCACUUAUUGAAAAGUAAACAAGUAAAGGCAUGGGAAAUUUUAAAAAAUGCUAGGCAGUAAAUGGUUAUUAUACAAGGCUGAAAAUUCAAUUGGGGGAGGGACAAACCAUAAAAAAGUAGCACAGAAAACAGAAAAAAGGAAGAAAAGAGAGAUGAAUCAUCCUUUGCCUUUGCUGUUCCCUCUGCCCCUGGGUAUGCACUUCCUCUCUGUCCUAAGUUUUCCUCUCAGAAGAACUGAAAUGUUAAUCUUCUUAGGGGCACCUUCCUUGGCUGCUAUCUAAAAGUAACCCAGCUGACAUCGUCAACAUUUCUCAUCCAUCUUUCCAAAGUUUACGUUGCUCCAAAGAAUUCAUAACUAUCAAAUUUACCAUAUAUAUUACUUGUUUAUAUUUAGUGCAUCUCCCUCGAUAGAAUAAAGCUUGGUGAAGGCAGGAAGUGUUUUGUGUUUGUUCUCUGUACAUCCCUAGCACAUGCCUGGGGCAUGGCAAAUGCUUGGUUAGUAUUUGUUGAGUGAGCAAUAAAUGAAUAGUUUAAUAAUUCUAUAUGACAUACGCAUCCAGAGAUUAGGACAGAGAUGGGCUAUCGUGUGAGGAUCUGAGAAUGUAGGAUAUACAGAUGAUAGGUACAGGGAUAUGAUUGAUGCCAUGGAAAUGAAUAUAGAAUGAGACAAAAAGCCACAGUAUUAUCUUGAAGAACUUCAGUAUUAACAACUAUUCAGGAAGAGAGGGGAAAACAAAGAAAAUUGGGGAAUGACCAAAUAGGCAAGGGGAAAAUACAGUGUUUUAAAAUGUUGUAAGUUAAAGAGAGUAGACAGCUUUAUAGAAUGCUUCUGAAAGAUCCAGUAAGAGGAGAUCUGAAAAAGUGUUCUCUGGAUUCAGUGUCCUGGACACAGUAACGUGAGCCAAAUCCAUGGAGAAAUAGGAACAGAAACUAGACUGGAAUGAACUGUGGAAUCAAUGAGUAAAUAAGGAGGAGGGAAGAAAAUGGGGACAGUCAGUACAGACAACACACUUUUUUUGGCUUUGUGGCUGUGCAUGGGAGGCAGGAGAUGCAGGAUUCAGGGAAGAAUGUUGUCACAUUGGAGUGACUAAAAUAAUUACAUGCCAAGAAGGAGCUUCUUGGAAAUAAAAGAAGAGGUGAAAAUUGAAAGCAUGUGACUUUAGAGAUAGUAAAAGGAGAUGGAAUCCAAUUACCCCUGUGGGGAUUUGCCUUUGAUAGGAAGAGGGCCAGAAACACCACCUCGAUAGAGUAGAAGAAAAGGCAGUGGUCGUUACAAGAAGAUUAGUAGGGCCCCUGUGCAAGGAUGGCAUGUAAUUCAUUCCAGAUUAAAAAAAAAAAUAGAAAGGAAAGUUACCUGCCAACAGUGAAAGAAUGCAACAGAAAUGACUUGGAAAUCAGGAGGAAAGAUGAAAGAGAAUGGAAGAGUGGGAAGCUGACUGAGAAAUAUGUCCCACUGCUAUGGAGUCUUGAGAGCUCAAUUAAUUGGUGACACUGGCUAUAUUAUGAUGCUGGCUUUCUGUAUGCAUGUAUGGUUUUCUCUCUGGAUGUGAAUGUUUUCAUCUAGAAUAUGACUUUUCAAGAAAGGCGUAAUGGAAGAACCUAGUAACAAGGGGAUAGACGUCUUUAUAAAAAUGUUCUCUAAAAUCAUUAAAAAUGGAGUUUAGGCCAAGUUAAAACAAAGGAAUAAACUAAAUAGAAGAAAGGCUUUAAUAAUAAUAACAGCUAUAAUUUAUCGCUUACUUAGCUUACGCCGAGAACUUUUCUAAAUACAUAUGAUUACUCACUUAAUUCUUGUGAUUAUCCUAUGAGGUAGGUAACUAAAAUUCAAGGUAUUACUCUUACAUUAAUUUUACAGUGAAGAGAACCAUGUCUAAGGUUACACAGAUAAUAAACAGCAAAUCAGGGACUUUAACCAUUUGAUAGUCUAGUUCCAGCGUCUUCACUUUAACCACUUUGCAACACGGAGUAUAACAGAAGUCUUGAAGAACCUAAACACAGAAUGGGGGAAUUGAGCAAGUAAAAUGAGAGGGUAAGAGAUUCCUGUUGGAGCUGUGGGAUGUUUUAAUUAGCAAAUUCAGAAGGAAUACACUUUGAAGUCACAACAAGGCUCUAGUUUUGGCACGUGAACUUAUAUUUGUUUGUGCUCUCUUCCAAUGGAACAAUUCAACGCUGCAGGUAGAAAAUACUUUAGUUACAUUCACUGAAGAUUAUGUUUUUCAUGUAUCAUUUUUGAAACAUAGGAGUUUUGAUGUUAUUGAGACCCUAGUAAUUUGUUACAUAUUUUUAAGAAACUGGAUUAAAGUAUUCUCAGUGAAAACUCCAUGGGAGAGCAUCUUGAGGUAAUAAUCUCAAGAAAUAGGUCAGACUGGGAUAAAGACCAAAAUCACAGAGUAGCAGUACGUGUUUAUUUCACGUUAUGGUGGAUCACAUAGUUUGUACUUCACCUUUGUCAAUUCAGACAACUAACAUGGACUUUCAAGUGGUAGUUUUUUGUUUUUUUUUUUUUCAGGAUGGGAACUGAUUCAUGCAAGUUUAAAUUUGCCUCUAGAAUGUACUGUAAUAUACUCAGUAAUUUCCAUGAAAAUUGGCUGAUAGAUCACACAAAUCAGAUCUACAUUUUAUUGCAAGGCUAGGAUAAUUGUUAGUGAUUCCUAAGAAAUAAUAAAGUUGCUCAAAUGUACACACUUCCUGGGAGCCUUAUUUUAGUUGACGUAAUGUGCCCGACUGCCCAUUGUAUGAAUCCUCUGUGCCUCCAUGUUGCUUUCCACAGGUCAGGGUGUGGGUGGGGUGUAUCGCUCAAGUAAGGUACAUGGGCUUCCAGGCCCACCUUGAUAUGGGCCCAAGCUUGGCAUAUUUGAGGUCUGAAGAAGGCAGUGUGGGUGGAAUUUGGUGGAAGAAGAUGAGUUCUAAAACAGUACACGAUCUGUUGGCUGUAGCAAGGAGUAUGAAUUUUAUUUUAGCAAUAAGAAGAAAGAAAACACUUCUAAUCACGACCCUUUUUAAUGGACAGAAAACUAAGAUUCAAAAUGCUUCAGUAAUUUGCAGAUGGGAACUCUGAAAUGACCAAGCUGCAGCUUAUACUCUUGUCUUCCUGACACCAAGAUCUGUUUGUUUUUUAAUACCGCUGUUUCAACACCGAACUAACAAAGAAAAUUAUUCAGCAAAAGUUUUUGAACAUAUUUGGGCCACAUGAUAUGGUAGAUAAUAAUGUAAUCACUAAAGUGAAUAUAUCUUAAUUACUUUAGAUGUGUUCGUUUAAUAGAUUAUAACAAUAACGUAAAUGUUUAUCACGAUCUGUUUUUCAAUUCUGUGCUAAAUACUUUGCAUGGGUUAUCUUGUUUCUCCCUAACAAUAAUCCCAGGAGGAAGGCACUAUUAUUAUACCCAUUUUAUGUAUGAAAAGACUAAGAUUCAAGUGGGUCAAGAAACUUGCCUAUGGUCUUACACUGGUUAAAUGGUAGAUUCAUAAGAGCAAAAACGAUUUCACUAUUUAUUGGGUUGUCAUGGAUAAUUCCGUUAAAUCAUAGUUUAUUAGCUUAGUUUGUAGUUAGCCUGUGUGGGGUUAGUUCUUAUGAAAAUAAAAUAAUAUUCUAUCAUUUCCCAUUUCUCAUUAAUUUUUUCCAAGAUAUUGUGGAGAUGAUAUCCAGAGAUCUAAAUGAAGAGAAUAACUCUGGAGAAGUAGAUGUCAGAGGAGAUGACUGUGAAUGUCCUUAUUGGGAAUGUAGCCAAGUAAGGAUUUUGAGAAUAUUUAUUCAGUGAUUAAACAAAUACUGUAAACCUGCUGUGUGCCAGGUACUUUGGAAAAAUAAAUGAUGGGUGGGUAGGAGCCAACUAAGAUGAAUAUCUGUGAUUUAACAUUUCCUCAGAACUUGUCAGAACCUAAUAGUUCCAAAAGUUAGGCUGACAGAAAUCUAUGAUAUGCCGCAUAAAAGACUUCUAGUAACUCUUCACCUUGCAUAGCAUAUAGAAGGAAAAUAUAACUCAUCAAAGCUUAAUCAUCAAUCUUAAGAUUCUGUUAUAUGUAGAGUUUGAUCAUUUCAGAAUUUAGGAAAGACUCCCUAGACUCUGAAGGGUUCUUAUUUGAGUUUUAUAUCUGAUAAGUGGUAAGAUAGUGCCAGUUUCAUAGUGUUCAGUUUAGCACAGACACAUAAAUGUUAGCUAAUCUAAACAGCAGGCCCAGUCAAUUUGUUACCAUCCUGAAGUGAUAGUCAGCCUGGUUAGUGUCUUGAAAGAAAGGGUAAACUGGAAAAUCUGGCCUCUGCCUCUGGGUUGUUAAGCCAUCCAAAGCUCAGGAUGCAUGGCUUUUAAAAUACACACCCCUAAUUCAGAAUUUCUUAGGAUAUCACACAGUUAUGCUUUUCCACUUCAGUGUAUACUCUCUUCAAUAUUUCAUGU